CAACUGUUUGGGGGUGGGGCUACUUAUGCUCUCCUCUCAGAUAUACAAGAAAUCCCCCAGAAAAUUUAAAAUUUAUCACAAUUUUUCAUCAGCUUUCAUAGCCUUCCCAGAUACAGAUUAUAUUCACAAGACAGAACAAUUAUUUUCCUGCUUCCAGAGCAAUUACACUCCAACAAAGGAAGAUUUCAGGAGAAAAAAACAAUCGCUUUUAAUGGGUAAUGAAUGGGAUUAUCACAUGCUAAUAUAAAUGCCAAGACUACACACUCUCUUAAUUUAUCACUAAUACUAGAAUGCCUUUAUUCUAUACAUGACACGUAGGUUUAGCGUAAUACUAUAGCAGUGGGUGACAUUAUGUACUUAUGAUGCACCGACAUGGACACUUAUGCUUGAACAAUACGAGUCGAACACUUUGACACACGAUUGUUCAAAAAAGUACCAAUAGGACAUGUCACCGACACAUUGAUUGAAUUCUUUAAAAUUCUUCAUUUAUAUAAUAUAAAUUUAGUUUUACACUUGUUAUUAACUUUUAUUGUUUAAAUCUUUUAAAUAUAGUAUAUAUUUGUUAUUUACUAAUAAUUUUAAAUUAAAAUAUAUAAUAUUUUUAAUAAAAAAAGAAAAAUAUUUAAUAAGAGUGUUCGAGAAGUGUCGACGAGAAGUAUCGAUAUCGACACGUAUUCGAUACAGACACACUGUCCUAAUUGAAGCGUCUGUGCUACAGAGAUUUGUACAAAUGCAUAUAACCAGCAAAUAAUAUUAAUUGCAAGUCUUAAAACAAGAUCAAGGAACAAAACAUAUAAGUUUCUUGUUUCAAUUAACCUUCCUACAGAAAAAAAGAAAAUCACAAUAAGGGAAAUGCAUGUUGAAUUAAAUAACGAGUAAACGCUCAAACAAUAUGAAAAAAUUGAAAACAAACAAUGUUUACCAUCCAUAAUGUUAUCAGUAAUCCUCUUCUUGCAUUUGCAGACAAUUAUCUUCACGUAGAAUGGAGCUCAGAUUUGAACAUAAUGAUGAACUUCAUGGAGUAUAAAAAUGUCGUGUGAAAUUUUUCCGUCAAGAAAAUUUCCAGUACUCUAGUAUGGAGCACUCAUACUCCUUGCGACAUGUAUUAAAUAGGAGGGUACACACCAAUCAAUUGGGACCCAAACAUGGAUACGUGAUAUACAUGUCAAUUAAAUAGUGGCAUGAAAACUAUACUCCAUACUUGGGGAGUACUAGAAUUGUUUAUGUUCAGAACUCAACAGUUACACCUACUUGUUCAACACUAUACUUCAAUUCUGCCCUUAUAAAAGGAACAUCAGCUCUAACAAUUCCGCCGCCGUCUACCAAAACAAUUGGAAAUGUUUCAAAAAAAGUAGGCAUACGAUGUACAAAAAGUUCACGCCAAGGAUAAAAUUGGUUCUAUCACAGCAGCCAAAGCAUAUCCCAGGAGAGAAUCAAUCAGAUAGCCAAUGAAAGAGAGUAAAGUGCCAGCCCAGCUCCUUCAAUAUGUGUCCAGCAUUGCCUGGCUUUUUCAUGUCCAACCAUGCACCCCACACAGCCCGUGCAUGCCAUACAUAACUAAUGGCCAAAACAUAUCCGGCCAUUGUCCAGUGACCAAAAAUUUGGAUGCUGGGGCACUUGGGACGGGUUGGAUUUUUUCUCCUUUUUUCAUACUACAGUAUAUCAUUGGCCAAAAUUGGAUACAAAAUGUAUAUGAUAAGUUUAUUGGAUUAUGGAAUUUUUAUUGUACUUGCAUUUGAGUCCUGUUUUUCUUAAUCUGUUUCUAAAAGAAAC
rnacentral:lncRNA from 1 species